UUUUAAAGGCAUGGAAGAGAUAGGUGUGAUUGAAGAUUUGUGGGAUAAAUUUAAGAAAGGGAUCGUGAAUGUUGCUCUUGAGGUAUGCGGGGUAGCUAAAAGAAGGAAAGGAAGAAAGAACUAUAAUGUGUGGAUGGUUAAAGAUGAAAGAGAAGAAAGCUUGGUUGGAUUGGUUAGCGACAAAAGCUAACCAAAAAGUUCAAAAGGCAACGGAUGACGAGAUAAAGGAAGCAAGAACGAAGUAUAAAAGAUUGAAAUUAGCGGCGAAAGAAGUUGUGUCUAGAAAGAAAGAAGAACAAACGUGAUGGUGUUUGAAAGAGAUGAGGCAGUGGCAGACUGCAAUAUCGUGAUUGGAGAUGAACGAAUUGAACAGGUAAAUGAGU
rnacentral:misc_RNA from 1 species